AAGUCCUUGUUUCAACAAUUUAUACGCUAAAACUAGGAUGAUGCAGAGAAGAUUAGCUUGGCCCUGCACAAAGAUGACACCCAAGUUAAUGAAGGAUUCCACAUGUCU
ensembl:snRNA U6 U6 spliceosomal RNA